CUUUGAGGAACGAGGAGGGGUAGUAGUGUAGUAGUGGUAGCACUAGCUAAUAGUAUGUGGUCGGUAAGGUAGGUUUGUUCCAUGGGAACCUGGAGGUGGUAGUGACCAGCACCGCUGCAUGCUGGGUCACUUGUUUUGGAUGUGCGUGGCAGGUUCUCUCCCCAAGAUGGUGAUGUAGUAUGGAACGUUGAUGGUGGCCCUCUUGCGCGAACAACUCUAUGCUGUAUUGAUGGACUUGAUGAUCUUGACCAAAAACUUCACUACUGCCUUAUCUUGUGAUUGUUGUUGGAACGGCUUCAGUUUUGGAACCGCCUGGACACGAAACGCCGCAAUGUUAAAUGGCGUCCAUCUCCCUGUUAGUUUACCCGGAUUUUGUAUCUACACGUAAAUCAAAAUUUCAUCAGUUAGCAUAAUUUCAUCGGUAAUGUAUAUUUGUUCCUUCC
rnacentral:lncRNA from 1 species